UACUAAUGCAUAUGGCGGAUGCCUAGACAUCAAAAAGCGAUGAAGGACGUAGCUAGUUGCGAAAAGCUUCGGGGAGGUGCUGAGCAACCUUUGAUCCGAAGAUAUCCAAAUGGGGCAACCCAACCCAUUCUUCACUUCGUUCAGAAUGUAAUUUCUAAUUUUCAAUUUACAAUUUUCAAAUAAAUUCUAAUCUCAAAUUUUUAGAAAUUGAAACAUUGAGAAUUAUUUAUAAAAUUAAAAAUUUUAAAUUAAAAAAUUUGUAAAGUUUAUUUUAAUGGCAAAAUUUCUGGAUAAAGUGAAGAAUGGGUUAAUAUUAACUGAAUUCAUAGGUUAAUAUAGCGUACCCGGCGAAUUGAAACAUCUUAGUAGCCGGAGAAAAAGAAAACUAAUGUGAUUCCCUAAGUAGUGGCGAGCGAAAGGGGAAAAGUCUAAACCAGCUUCACCUCACUGCGUUCGGUGAAGAAUUCUAGAUUUUAAAUUCUAAAUUUUAAAUCAAAUCUAAAUUUUCAAAUGAUUGAAUUUUAAAAAUUUGUUCAUUUGGUCAUUGAAAAUUCGUUUAAAAUUGAAAAUUUAAAAUUGAAAAUUCUGUCCGAGCAUAGCGAGGUGCAGCUGGGGUUGCGAGGUAAUUUUACUCGUUUAAUCGGGGCGAUGAAUUGUUUGUUAGCAGAACGUUUUGGAAAAAACGACCAAAGAAAGUGAAAGUCUUGUAAGCGAAAACAAACAACAUUCGUGAAAUUAUUCUCAAGUAGGGCGGGACCGGAGAAAUCCCGUUUGAAUCUGGGGUCACUAUAACUCCAAGACUAAAUAUUUUUGAUGAUCGAUAGCGAACAAGUACCGUGAGGGAAAGGUGAAAAGUAUCCCGAUGAGGGAGAUGAAAUAGUAUCUGAAACCAUAUGCUAACGAAGAGUAGGAGCCGUAUUUUUCACUAACGUCCAGAAUAAAUUUUUAAUUUCCAAUUUUUAAUUUUAUAAAUAAUUUUUAAUGUUUUGAUUUUAUAAACAUUAGAAAUUAGAAAAUUAUUUAAAAAUUGUAAAAAUUAAAAAUUAUAAAAUUCGGAGCGUAAGUGAAGAAUACGGUGACUGCGUGCUUUUUGUAGAACGAUCCAGCGAGUUAGUUUUAUACGGCUUGCUUAAUCCGUUAAUAGCGGAGGAGGCGUAGUGAAAGCGAGCCUUAACCGGCGAUUUGUCGUAUGGACUAGACCCGAAGCCAGGCGAGCUAUUUAUGAGCAGGGUGAAUCUUGAGUAACAUCAAGAGGAGGCCCGAACCCACCGGCCGUGCAACACCGGGGGAUGACUUGUGAAUAGAGGAGAAAUUCCAAUCGAGCUUGGCGAUAGCUGGUUCUUCCCGAAAUAGCUUGAGGGCUAGCGUUAGGUAACUAUCUGUCGGAGGUAGAGCGACUGAAUGAGAAUUCGCGGUUCGCCGUAGGUUUCUCAACCAAACUCCGAAUUCCGUCAGAACUAUCCUAGCAGUCAGAAAUCCGGGGCUAAGCUCGGAUCUCAAAAGGGGAAAAGCCCAUGAUCGCAAUCUAAGGUCCCUAAUUUAUGUUAAGUGGAAAAGGAAGUAAGAUUUCUUAUACAGCUAGGAGGUUGGCUCAGAGGCAGCCAUCCUUUAAAGAGUGCGUAAUAGCUCACUAGUCUAGAGAUUUCGCGCCGAAAAUGUAACGGGGCUAAAACAUAAUACCGAAGAUGCGGGCUACUAUUCUUCACUAACGUUCAGAAUGAAAUUUUAAAGACUAAAUUUAAAAUUUUAAAUCAAGUCUAAAUGAAUAAAUUUUUAAAAUUUAAACAUUGGGAAAUUUAAAAUUCAAUUAAAAUUUAUAAUUUAAAAUUGAAAAUUUCCGAGCGAUAGCGAAGGAUGGUAGCGGUAGGGAAGCGUUCCAUAUGCGCUGAAGCGGAAUGCGUGAGCAACCGUGGAGUUUAUGGAAGUGAGAAUGCUGGAAUUAGUAACCGCAAUUGGGGUGAGAACCCCCGACACCGAAAGUCUAAGGUUUCCUGGGCAAUGGCAAUCAUCUCAGGGUUAGUCGGGCCUAAGGCGAGGCCGAAAGGCGUAGUCGAUGGACACACGGUUAAUACUCCGUGGCUUUCACGUUAUUCGAUGGAGUGACGCAUCCUAGUAGUUCUUGCCAAUUAUUGGAUUUUGGUAGGGAUAUUUAGAUGGCGAGACAGGUAAAUCCGUUUCGCAAUACAUCAAGAUAUUUCUCUAAUUUGUCUUCGGACAGAAAAGAAGAAUGAGCAGGGUGCCGGGAAAAGCUUCUAAGAUUAGUAGCGUGAGAACCGUACUAAAACCGACACAGGUAGACUGGGCGAGUAGCCUAAGGUGAACGAGUGAACCUUCGUUAAGGAACUCGGCAAAAUAGCGUCCGUAACUUAGGAAUAAGGACUGCCCGCCGUGUAUAGCACAGAGAUUCUAAAUUUCAGAAAAAUAAUUAAAAUAUAAAUUUGGAAUUCCCGUGCUAUGCGUGGUGGGCCGCAGCUAAAGAUAUCAAGCGACUGUUUACCAAAAACACAGGUCUCUGCAAACCCGCAAGGGGAUGUAUAGGGGCUGACGCCUGACCAGUGCUGGAACGUUAACGGGAGCGGUGCAAGCCAAUCCCCGAAGCGCCAGUGAACGUCAGCGAUAACUAUAAUCGUUCUAAGGUAGCGAAAUUCCUUGACAGGUAAGUUCUGUCCCGCAUCAAAGGCGUAACGACUUGAUAACUGUCUUAACGAAGAGCUCGGUGAAAUUGCAAUGACGGUAAAGAUGCCGUCGACCUGCAGCAAGACGAAAAGACCCCGUGGAGCUUUACUACAACUUGGUAUUGAGUUUGAGAUUAUACUGCCUAGAAUAGGUGGGAGGCUUUGAAGUUCGUCUUUUGGGAUGAACUGAGCCAAUAGUGUAAUACCACUCUGGAUAGUUUUAAAUUCUAACCCUGGACCGUUAAAAGGCAAAAAAUUUUCAAUUUUCAAUUCACGAUUUUAAAACAAUUUCUAAUGAUUAAAUUUUUUAAUUUUAAAAUCAUUUAGAAAUUGAAAAUUGUUUAGAAAUUGAAAAUUAAAAAUUAGAAAUUUUUGUUUUUUACCGGUUCGGGGACAGUGCCUGGUGGGUAGUUUGACUGGGGCGGUCGCCUCCUAAAUUGUAACGGAGGCGUUUACAAAGGUAGGCUAGGUCCGGAUGGAAAUCGGGCUGGUAGUGCAAACGCGCAAGCCUGCUUUACUGCGAGACUCAUAAGUCAAUCAGUCACGAAAGUGGAAGUUAGUGAACCGACCAUCGCUUAUAGGAGCGUGGAAGAUCAUCAGAUAAAAGUUACCCCGGGGAUAACAGGCUGAUCCCUCCCAAGAGUUCACAUCGACGGAGGGGUUUGGCACCUCGAUGUCGGCUCAUCACAUCCUGGGGCUGGAGAAGGUCCCAAGGGUUUGGCUGUUCGCCAAUUAAAGUGGUACGCGAGCUGGGUUCAAACCGUCGUGAGACAGGUUGGUCUCCUAUCUGCUGUAGGCGUUUAUUGCUUGAGAGGAUUCUUUCCUAGUACGAGAGGACCGGAAAGAACAAACCUCUGGUGUACCAGCUGUGGCGCCAGCCGCAUUGCUGGGUAGCUAAGUUUGGAAGGGAUAACCGCUGAAAGCAUAUAAGCGGGAAGCCCACCUCAAGAUUAGGCA
rnacentral:rRNA from 1 species